GCGGCCCUCAAACUUGGGACGCUGCGCACGCCCGGGUGCCCGGGCUCUGGACCAGCCGCGCCUUUUGAACUUACGUUCAGUACAAUCGUUUCUUUUCCAAGAGGGUUUUCCUUUAUUUUUUUUUUCCUCUUUCUCUUAUUUUUUCGAUUUUGUUGACUUUUAAUUUUGGAGAAGGGAAUUUUGAGGCGGGGUGGGGGGGAAACAAAAGGAAGAACCGCUCCCCGCGAAGUUCACAAAGGGGAUAAGGGACCGCCGGCCGGAGACGUAGGCCUGGAGUUCAGGAUGGAGGUGGCGGACCCGCAGCAGCUGGGCAUGUUUACAGAGGGCGAGCUGAUGUCGGUGGGGAUGGACACAUUCAUCCACCGGAUCGACUCCACCGAGGUCAUCUACCAGCCCCGCCGCAAGCGGGCCAAACUCAUCGGAAAGUACCUGAUGGGGGACCUGCUGGGGGAGGGGUCGUACGGCAAGGUGAAGGAGGUGCUGGACUCGGAGACACUGUGCAGAAGAGCCGUCAAAAUCCUCAAGAAGAAGAAGUUGCGAAGGAUCCCCAACGGGGAGGCCAACGUGAAGAAGGAGAUCCAGCUGUUGAGGAGGCUACGGCACAGGAACGUCAUCCAGCUAGUGGAUGUGCUGUACAACGAGGAGAAGCAGAAGAUGUACAUGGUGAUGGAGUACUGCGUGUGUGGCAUGCAGGAGAUGCUGGACAGCGUGCCCGAGAAGCGCUUCCCUGUGUGCCAGGCCCAUGGGUACUUCUGCCAGCUGGUGGACGGCCUGGAGUACCUGCACAGCCAGGGCAUCGUGCACAAGGACAUCAAGCCCGGCAACCUGCUGCUCACCACUGGUGGCACGCUCAAGAUCUCUGACCUGGGUGUGGCUGAGGCACUGCACCCGUUUGCUGAGGAUGACACGUGCCGGACCAGCCAGGGCUCCCCAGCGUUCCAGCCACCUGAGAUCGCCAAUGGCCUGGACACCUUCUCUGGCUUCAAGGUGGACAUCUGGUCAGCAGGAGUCACGCUGUACAAUAUCACAACAGGCCUGUACCCGUUCGAGGGCGACAACAUCUACAAGCUGUUUGAGAACAUCGGAAAGGGGGACUAUACCAUCCCGGGGGACUGCGGGCCCCCGCUCUCAGACCUGCUCAGAGGGAUGCUGGAGUAUGAGCCGGCCAAGCGGUUCUCCAUACAGCAGAUCCGGCAGCACAGUUGGUUCCGGAAGAAGCACCCGCCAGCCGAGCAGCCGGUGCCCAUCCCGCCCAGCGCGGACUGCAAGGACCGGUGGCGGGGCAUGACAGUGGUGCCCUACCUGGAGGACCUGCACGGCUGUGCCGAUGACGUGGAUGACGAGCUCUUCGACAUUGAGGACGACGUCAUCUACACUCAGGACUUCACAGUGCCCGGUGGCGAGGAGGCGUCUGAGGCAGGGCUUAGAGAGAGAGGCCCACGGGAGAGCCCGUGCUCAGAACUUUCUGGAGAGGAAGCUGAGGCCAGGGCCUUGGAGGAGCUCCAGGCAGAGCCCAGGCCCUAGUGUAGCACCACCCCGCCCGGCCCGCGCCCUGUGCACCGUGGGCUCUCGCUGACCCUGCCCAGGGUCUGAGGGAGGCCAGGCCACUGCCCCGCCACCGCAUCUGCGGUUCUGUGCUGCCCCCGGGGCUGGUUCCACUGGCUCCGCAUAAAGGUCUGCCUGCUUUGUGUGUGCGGUCCUGCUUGCCUCCUUCUGGCUCGUUGGCCAGGGCUCAGGUGUUUUCUGUAGAAAGAGCCUGUGUGCAGGGUGGCCUGCGGGCAUGGGCCCGCCCUCCCAGCACAUGUUAGGCCUCUGGUGCCCAUGGUGGCUGGCUGUAGCUGUUUCCCACUGGGGUCCUGGGGUCAGGUCAGAGACCCUGCCCUGGGAACCUUGGCCACAGCCCAGUCCUAAGUAAGGCCUCCUGGACCUCUGUCCCUGGCGGGAUAGGAUCAAGGUGUUCUCCUUUGGGAGGCACUGGGGCUCUGGGACAGGUGUCUGGCUGGCUGAGUGUGGACCCUGCCGGAUCCCCCAAGCCCCUCUGGGCACUGACCACACGCCGUCCCUUCAGGCCUAUGCCAGAGGCCUGGUCUACUCUUCCUGGGUGCGGAAUGCUUGUCCAAGAGCAGUUCUCUGGGCCCAAGCUAGACCCCUAGCCCAGAAAUGUCCCUACUCCAGAUGGGGGACAAGCCUGCAGUGAGAUCAGGCAGCUGCCCCUUGCCGAACUCCCCUAGGCCAACGGCAGGCUGUGUUGGGGCUGCUUCUGCUCCAGUCCCGUCUCAUGAUCUGCUCACCAGGGUCUCCCUGGUCUGUCCCUCUUCCUGCCACCCACCAUGGUUUUGUUUGAGCCAGUGCCCUUGAUGCCUUGAGGGCAAGUGGAGCAGAUUUCUUGCCGGCCACCCCCCAGCUGUGGUCGCUGUGCUGGAGGCUGAGUAGCGUUGUGGUACUCAGCACCCUGGCAGCCCCCUCCGCCAUUAGAGCAGGCUCCUGACACCCGCCCACUCUGCCAUGCUCUGAGUUCUGACCUGAGUUGCUGCCUGUAGACAUGCCUAGGGGGCUUCCGGCAAGGUCCAGAGGCCAAGUUAGGCCCCAGACACCGCUGGUGGAAACGCAUUCUUGUGUGAGGACCAGACGGGCUCGAGGCAGCUGUGGUGGUUUCCUGGUAUCCACGGGAGGAGGGUGUGCUGUGAUCAGCCUGGGCUCCUGCACCCCUCCCUCCCCCACUGCUCAGCGGGCAUGCAGCAGGACCCCAGGACCCAGUGAGGGCUGGCAGGCCACGUGGGAAGGAAUGGGGUAUGGGAGGUGCCCGAGCCUGCCUCUCUGUUCUUUCGUGCCUGGCAUGGAGAGCCAGGGUGGGCUGUUUCGAGAAUGACAUCGAGUCUGGACGCCUGGCCCAAGUACAGCCCCUUGUGUUCCACAGGGCCCAGUGGGCUCUGGCCUUCACCCAGGUGAGAGAGCUGAGGCUCGGGCCCCAGGUCUCUGGUCUUCCACCAUAUUCCCACUCACCUGAGUGUGGAGCCCCGCUCACAGCUGAAUGAGCAGGUGAGCAUGGGCUGGGCCUGAUUCUGGCCGGUUGGUUUGAAGGCCCGCCCUCCCGCUCCCUGGAUGAGGCCCUGUGGCAGGACCGGGCAGGUCAGAUGGGACAGGUGGUGGGGGGCCUGGGUCUGGGCAGGAAUGAUGCAGAGCGUGUGUGCUUUGGGAUCCCCAGUCAGCACACUCUGGCCCUCUCCCCUUGAAGGUCAGGUCCUGGAGGAGGAGGCUGGGCGGAGCGCACAGAACCGGGUCCUUCCCAAGGCUGUGUGCGUGAAUGGCACCGACACCACCCAGCUGAACACCAGGUCAAGGGCAGAGCGCCGGGCCAGCGCUGCCUCCAACCCUGCCCGCAAGGCCUGCUCAGCCAGCAGCAAGAUCCGCCGGCUGUCGGCCUGCAAACAGCAGUGAGGUUGGCUGCCCGCAGUCUGUCUCCAGGAGCCCCGGCCAGGUCCUGCUCAGUCUUCCCGUCGACGGCUGGCCUGCUGCCCACCGCCCAGGAAGGCUGCCACAGCGCCCUCCGUGCUGACUGCUCCUCUGGAAGCCAGAGGGUCCUGGAGGACUGUGGCUGGGCGACAGCAGGGACUGGGAUCUGGCCCUCCCUCGGUGGCCAGUGGACACGACCUCCUGCUGACUGCAAUCCUGUGCUGAGCCCCUUCCCCCAGCUAGGGGAGGAGGGAGAGGGCCCGGCGUGGCCCCAUGCCAGCCUUUGCCAUGCACUUUACGUUGAGACUACUGGUUCUCGUCCACCCCAACUCCUCUUUUUACUCUGCCACUGGUUAGCACCUCCCACACCUGGUGAUGUGUUCAUAUCAACCACAGCCGCAACGGGAUGGGCAUGACACGCAGGCCUGCCAACCCAGAUGCAUGCCCAUGCCCAAGGGAACCAGGCGGCCUCCUUGUGUUUGUUGUUUGGUUGGUUCCUUUUUAUUUUUAUUUUUUAAACAAAAAAUAAAACAGGUGGAUUUGAGCUGUGGUUGUGAGGGAUAUUUGGGAACUGUGGGUGGCAGCAUGCUGUCAGGGGAUCUGAGCCUGAGCCUGGGGUCCUUUGUGGGUCCCACAGUGGAGGGGCUGGCCAGGCUACCUGCUGGAGACCUGGGCCUCUUAGGCAUAUUUGCUUCUAGCCAUGCUGGAUCUCUGCUCUUAGCGAGAGCCCGGCCUCCCCAAAGCUCCACAGGCCCCUCUGCUCAGCCCAGGGCCCACAGCUUCACAGCAUGGUGGCUAGGGGGGUGCCUCAUCCCCUUCUGCCCAAGACAUCUGCGCUCUUGGGUCCCCAGAAACAACCCAGAGCAAGCAAGAGUAUGCACUAAAUAUUUAUAAUCAACCAGAAAACAAAACACAAGCUCCAUCACUGGAUGGUACACAAACUGCAGGAAGCUUAGGAGGGAGGGGCGGGGCAGGGCGACUCGGCCGCUGGCGAGGGCUGCCCCAUCUUUUGGCAAUAAAUAAAGCUUGGGAAACUUGAAACCUU